rnacentral:lncRNA from 1 species
UAAAAAUCCAAAUGGCAACAAAAUGCCACAAAAUUAAGUCAUACCUUGCUUCUGUGAACACCUCUGAUUUUUCCCCCAGAAAGUCAGUGAUUGUCCAUCAGAGAACCCCUUGGAGGCCAGGCUUCUGAUUAUAAAGUUCUCCAGAUCUCUGAUUGCUAUGGACGGGUAACGGCCCACCUCGGAACUGUCCUGAGUGCUGAAAUGGUGCCUGGUUGCAGCUGACAUUCCUGUUCCUUCACUUAAGUGCUCUGCCGGAGCACUAGGUGUGGCAGAAUUGAUGCCCUAUAACUUCUGAGUGUAGGUCAUAAAAGGCAAUGUGGCUCCCCCAGCUCUCUCCCUCUGUCAAGAUGCUUUUCCUUGGAAUCCAGCUGCCAUGUUGUGAGAAAGCCCAGGGCACCGCAGAGACCACAUGUGGGUGUUCCAGCCAACAGCCCCAGCUAGGUCCCCAUGGAGAGCCCACACCAACCACCAGAUAUGAGGGUUCAGACUCCAGCCCACAGUCUUCAAGUCUUCCAGCUGCAGUCCCAGACAUCAUGAAACCAUUCUGCUGUGACCUGUCAGAAUUUCUGACCCCAGAAACUGUUGGAGAUAAUAAAUAAUUACUGUUGUUUUAAUCCUCUAAA